UUGUCGCCAUAAGUGACCUUGAGGAAC
rnacentral:piRNA from 1 species